rnacentral:rRNA from 1 species
UACGUAGGUGGCAAGCGUUGUCCGGAUUUACUGGGCGUAGAGCGCACGUAGGCGGCUCCGCAAGUCGGCCGUGAAAUCUCCGGGCUCAACUCGGAGGGGUCGGGCGAGACUGCGGGGCUCGAGGUGGGCAGAGGGCAGUGGAAUUCCGGGUGUAGUGGUGAAAUGCGUAGAUAUUCGGAAGAACACCAGUGGCGAAGGCGAACUUACUGGACACAUACUGACGCUGAGGUGCGAAAGCGUGGGGAGCAAACAGGG